GCUUCGGCGGGACCGCCCCGGCGCCCUCGGCGUCCCGGAACCAGGCGCCCGCCGGAGGACCCAAACUCUUGUUUAAACCAUAGUGGCAUAUUCUGA
rnacentral:rRNA from 1 species